rnacentral:rRNA from 1 species
UUGACUGGGGCGGUACAUCUCUCAAAUAAUAACGGAGGUGUCCCAAGGCCAGCUCAGUGCGGACAGAAACCACACAUAGAGCAAAAGGGCAAAUGCUGGCUUGAUCUCGGUAUUCAGUACAUACAGAGACAGCAAAAGCUCGGCCUAUCGAUCCUUUUGGUUUAACGAGUUUUUAGCAAGAG